rnacentral:rRNA from 1 species
GGAUUGUAAACUCCUUUUAUCAGGGACGAUAAUGACGGUACCUAAAGAAAAAGCUCCGGCUAAGUACGUGCCAGCAGCCGCGGUAAUACGUAGGGAGCGAGCGUUGUCCGGAAUUACUGGGUGUAAAGGGAGCGUAGGCGGGAUAGCAAGUCAGAUGUGAAAACUAUGGGCUCAACCUGUAGAUUGCAUUUGAAACUGUUGUUCUUGAGUGAAGUAGAGGUAAGCGGAAUUCCUAGUGUAGCGGUGAAAUGCGUAGAUAUUAGGAGGAACAUCGGUGGCGAAGGCGGCUUACUGGGCUUUUACUGACGCUGAGGCUCGAAAGCGUGGGGAGCAAACAGGAUUAGAUACCCUGGUAGUCCACGCUGUAAACGAUGAUUAUUAGGUGUGGGGGGACUGACCCCUUCCGUGCCGCAGUUAACACAAUAAGUAAUCCACCUGGGGAGUA